rnacentral:lncRNA from 1 species
AAUAAAUAUAUUCAGAUUACUCGGGAUUGUAAUUAAGAUAUGUUAUGACCCAGUAUUUUUCAAGGAGAACCAAAUAUCUGUCAGAAGUAUACUGUUCAUUGCAUUUUUUUUUUAUCAAUGUUGGUCAGCAAUUGCAAAUAGAAUUUUACUUAAACAUUUACGAUUUUCAAUCAUAUUUUAAAAAGGCAUGUCACAGCAAUGUUUGGUGCAAAAAUAACAAGUUUGUGAAUUUAAAUUCUUUUAAGAAUAUAAUUCGGACUAUGCUAUACAUAAAAGUCAAAUUAGUUUCGACAAUUUUCCAUUUUUUUUCCCGUGAGUGAUCCAUAUCCAUGAGAAAGAAGCCCCACAGAAACAAUCAAGAUCCGUCGUCAAAAGUAACUUUCCAGAUAACGAAAAAAAUAUUCAGAUAUGAAAUUUUCAACCUUUUACAUUGAUCCUAACAUGGGAUAUGGAAAAAAAUUAGUAGCAAAAAUAACAGAAAUCCCCAGACUAUAGACAAGCUUGUAUGUGAGAAGAAUUAGAACGCC